GACGAACGCUGGCGGCGUGCUUAACACAUGCAAGUCGAACGGUGAAGCGCCUUCCUUUUUGGUGGGUGUGGAUGAGUGGCGAACGGGUGAGUAACACGUGAGUAACCUGCCCCCUUCUUCUGGAUAACCGCAUGAAAGUGUGGCUAAUACGGGAUAUUCUGGGUCUGUCGCAUGAUGGGUCUGGGAAAGAUAUUGUUUCGGUGGGGGAUGGGCUCGCGGCCUAUCAGCUUGUUGGUGGGGUGAUGGCCUACCAAGGCGGUGACGGGUAGCCGGCCUGAGAGGGUGGACGGUCACACUGGGACUGCGACACGGCCCAGACUCCUACGGGAGGCAGCAGUGGGGAAUACUGCACAAUGGGCGCAAGCCUGAUGCAGCGACGCCGCGUGAGGGAUGGAGGCCUUCGGGUUGUGAACCUCUUUCGCCAGUGAAGCAGGCCUGCCUCGUUUGUGGGUGGGUUGACGGUAGCUGGAGAAGAAGCGCCGGCUAACUACGUG
rnacentral:rRNA from 1 species